rnacentral:rRNA from 1 species
GAUGAACGCUGACAGAAUGCUUAACACAUGCAAGUCAUUGGCGAAGCUGCGCUUGCGCAGUCUAGCCAAGGCGGACGGGUGAGUAACGCGUAAGGAACUUGCCCUGCAGACAGGGAUAACAGAGGGAAACGACUGAUAACACCUGGUAUUGUCAGGCUGGCGCAUGCCGGCCUGAUGAAAGGAGACGCUGCAGGAGAGCCUUGCGUCCUAUUAGCUAGUUGGUGGGGUAACGGCCCACCAAGGCGAUGAUAGGUAGCCGGCCUGAGAGGGUGAACGGCCACAAGGGGACUGAGAUACGGCCCUUACUCCUACGGGAGGCAGCAGUGGGGAAUAUUGGACAAUGGGGGCAACCCUGAUCCAGCAAUUCUGUGUGCACGAAGAAGGUUUUCGGAUUGUAAAGUGCUUUCAGCAGGGAAGAAGAAAGUGACGGUACCUGCAGAAGAAGCGACGGCUAAAUACGUG